rnacentral:lncRNA from 1 species
CGGCUAGUGAUUACACCACCAUUACUGAUGCAAGUUCUCCACAAUUCAAUAAAUAUACACAAAACAAGGAAUAAUUAUUGAUUACAAUCCCAUUUAGCUUGUAAUAAAACAUCAUAAAGAAAUUAAAGAUCUGGAGAUGAUGAACAUAAUAGAAAUCUUGAUCAUCCAUGAUUUUUCUUUCCCUGUAACAGAAAACAUUAAAAAUAAGUUAUAUUUAUACUAUAUACCAAAUAUGUCCUAAAUAAAUCACGUUAAGAGACUUUUACACUUCUUCUUGCAGCUGUAUGGUGGCCGCGGGCUCGAUUGGGUGGUGGCCUGUACCUAUGAGUCUCUGGACCUCUAUAAUCAAUGUCAUAAAUCUGUGGAUCCAACACUUUUUCCACCUUCAAUCCGCCUGCAAAACCACCAUUUUUGUUAGUUAAUGAGUUGACAGUUAGUCCACUACUUCAUCUACAAGCUUAAAUUCUUAAAGACGAGAUUGAGUAUCACACUCGUUUAAAAGUUUAAACUUGCUACCAACCUCUUGAAGUCGAAGAGCAUGGAGUAAUGAGGAGAAGAACUAGAAGUAUCAUGCCAAUAAUGCUAGCUUUCGAUUCCAUGGCAUUCCAAAUUGAGGUGAACAGAAGCUAGCUAUUUCUUGUUCUUGUUGUGUAUAUAUGGAUAACAGAAAUCUGCAGAUAUAAUCAUGGAAAAAGCCCAUGCACUUGGGUUAAUUAAGGCAGUGAACAACUUUUAGCAAUUGAAACUGUCCCCAUCCACACAGCAAUUGAUUACAAGGAUCCGAUGGAGAUGUGUUGGGUUGGAACAUUUAUGUAAAGAGACCAUUAGGGUUUGUUUGGA